GGGAGGCAGCAGUGGGGAAUAUUGGACAAUGGGGGCAACCCUGACCCAGCAAUGCCGCGUGUGUGAUGAAGGCCUUAGGGUUGUAAAACACUUUCAACGGUGAAGAUGAUGACGGUAGCCGUAGAAGAAGCCCCGGCUAACUUCGUGCCAGCAGCCGCGGUAAUACGAAGGGGGCGAGCGUUGUUCGGAAUUACUGGGCGUAAAGGGCGCGCAGGCGGCCUAUCCAGUCAGGUGUGAAAGCCCCGAGCUCAACUUGGNAA
rnacentral:rRNA from 1 species